AGAGUUUGAUCAUGGCUCAGAGCGAACGCUGGCGGCGUGCUUAACACAUGCAAGUCGAACGUGAAAGGGGGCAAUCCUGAGUAAAGUGGCGUACGGGUGAGUAAUACGUAGAUAAUCUACCCCAGAGUCUGGAAUAACCUGCCGAAAGGCGGGCUAAUACUAGAUAGAGCGACGGAAUCCGUAAUUGGGUUUUUCGGGAAAGGGAGGAAGCAAUUCCCUUCGCUUUGGGAUGAGUCUGCGUCCCAUUAGCUAGUUGGUAAGGUAAUGGCUUACCAAGGCGAUGAUGGGUAGCUGGUCUGAGAGGAUGAUCAGCCACACUGGAACUGAAACACGGUCCAGACUCCUACGGGAGGCAGCAGUGGGGAAUCUUGCGCAAUGGACGAAAGUCUGACGCAGCCACGCCGCGUGAGUGAAGAAGGCCUUCGGGUUGUAAAGCUCUGUCGUCCGGGACGAAAAUCUUAUAAGUGAAUAGCUUAUAGGACUGACGGUACCGGGAAAGGAAGCACCGGCUAACUCCGUGCCAGCAGCCGCGGUAAUACGGAGGGUGCAAGCGUUGCUCGGAAUUAUUGGGCGUAAAGGGUAGGUAGGUGGUCUCAUUUGUCUGGGGUGAAAGCCUUGAGCUUAACUCAAGAAGUGCCUCAGAAACGGUGAGACUGGAGUCCUGGAGAGGGUCGUGGAAUUCCCGGUGUAGCGGUGAAAUGCGUAGAGAUCGGGAGGAACACCAGAGGCGAAAGCGGCGACCUGGACAGGUACUGACACUCAACUACGAAAGCGUGGGGAGCAAACAGGAUUAGAUACCCUGGUAGUCCACGCUGUAAACGAUGAGUACUAGGUUUGGCGGGUCUUGACCCCUGCUGAACCGGAGCUAACGCAAUAAGUACUCCGCCUGGGAAGUACGGUCGCAAGACUAAAACUCAAAGGAAUUGACGG
rnacentral:rRNA from 1 species